GAACGGACAGACAUGAGAGCUUGCUCUUAUGAAAGUUAGUGGCGGACGGGUGAGUAACGCGUGGGUAACCUGCCCAUCAAGCCGGGAUAACAUCGUGAAAACGGUGCUAAUACCGGAUACACUUACGAAAUCGCAUGGUAUUGUAAGGAAAGGUGGCCUCUGAUAUAAGCUACCGAUGAUGGAUGGACCCGCGUCUGAUUAGCUAGUUGGUAAGGUAAUGGCUUACCAAGGCGACGAUCAGUAGCCGGCCUGAGAGGGUGAACGGCCACACUGGGACUGAGACACGGCCCAGACUCCUACGGGAGGCAGCAGUGGGGAAUCUUCCGCAAUGGACGAAAGUCUGACGGAGCAACGCCGCGUGAGUGAAGAAGGCCUUCGGGUUGUAAAACUCUGUCAACAAGGAAGAGAGCUUACUUUGAAAAUAUUGAGGUAAGAGGACGGUACUUGAAGAGGAAGCCACGGCUAACUACGUGCCAGCAGCCGCGGUAAU
rnacentral:rRNA from 1 species